rfam:Myotis brandtii contig269914, whole genome shotgun sequence.
GAGACACCCUUAUGGGGCAGGACUUGCUUCAGUGGGACUUUGGUUCUCACUGAAUCUGCCCCUUGAGUGUGUCGCU